rnacentral:rRNA from 1 species
UACGUAGGGUGCGAGCGUUAAUCGGAAUUACUGGGCGUAAAGCGUGCGCAGGCGGUUCUGAAAGUCAGCUGUGAAAGCCCCGGGCUUAACCUGGGAAUGGCGGUUGAAACUACAGGACUAGAAUCUGGCAGAGGGGGGUGGAAUUCCACGUGUAGCAGUGAAAUGCGUAGAGAUGUGGAGGAACACCGAUGGCAAAGGCGGCCCCCUGGGCUGAGAUUGACGCUCAGGCACGAAAGCGUGGGGAGCAAACAGG